AGAGUUUGAUCCUGGCUCAGAUUGAACGCUGGCGGCAUGCUUUACACAUGCAAGUCGAACGGUAACAGGGAGCUUGCUCCGCUGACGAGUGGCGAACGGGUGAGUAAUGCAUCGGAACGUACCGUGUAAUGGGGGAUAACGUAGCGAAAGUUACGCUAAUACCGCAUACGCCCUGAGGGGGAAAGUGGGGGACCGCAAGGCCUCACGUUAUACGAGCGGCCGAUGUCGGAUUAGCUAGUUGGUGGGGUAAAGGCCUACCAAGGCGACGAUCCGUAGCGGGUCUGAGAGGAUGAUCCGCCACACUGGGACUGAGACACGGCCCAGACUCCUACGGGAGGCAGCAGUGGGGAAUUUUGGACAAUGGGGGCAACCCUGAUCCAGCCAUGCCGCGUGAGUGAAGAAGGCCUUCGGG
rnacentral:rRNA from 1 species